GACGAACGCUGGCGGCGUGCCUAAUACAUGCAAGUCGAGCGCAGGAAACUGACGGAACUCUUCGGAGGGAAGGCAGUGGAAUGAGCGGCGGACGGGUGAGUAACACGUAAGGAACCUGCCUCAAGGAUUGGGAUAACUCCGAGAAAUCGGAGCUAAUACCGGAUAGUUCAACGGACCGCAUGGUCCGCUGAUGAAAGGCGCUCCGGCGUCACCUUGAGAUGGCCUUGCGGUGCAUUAGCUAGUUGGUGGGGUAACGGCCCACCAAGGCGACGAUGCAUAGCCGACCUGAGAGGGUGAUCGGCCACACUGGGACUGAGACACGGCCCAGACGCCUACGGGAGGCAGCAGUAUGGAAUCUUCCACAAUGGACGAAAGUCUGAUGGAGCAACGCCGCGUGAGUGAUGAAGGUUUUCGGAUCGUAAAACUCUGUUGUAAGGGAAGAACACGUACGAGAGGAAAUGCUCGUACCUUGACGGUACCUUACGAGAAAGCCACGGCUAACUACGUGCCAGCAGCCGCCGUAA
rnacentral:rRNA from 1 species